GAAACCGGGGCUAAUACCGGAUGCUUGUUUGAACCGCAUGGUUCAAACAUAAAAGGUGGCUUCGGCUACCACUUACAGAUGGACCCGCGGCGCAUUAGCUAGUUGGUGAGGUAACGGCUCACCAAGGCAACGAUGCGUAGCCGACCUGAGAGGGUGAUCGGCCACACUGGGACUGAGACACGGCCCAGACUCCUACGGGAGGCAGCAGUAGGGAAUCUUCCGCAAUGGACGAAAGUCUGACGGAGCAACGCCGCGUGAGUGAUGAAGGUUUUCGGAUCGUAAAGCUCUGUUGUUAGGGAAGAACAAGUACCGUUCGAAUAGGGCGGUACCUUGACGGUACCUAACCAGAAAGCCACGGCUAACUACGUGCCAGCAGCCGCGGUAAUACGUAGGUGGCAAGCGUUGUCCGGAAUUAUUGGGCGUAAAGGGCUCGCAGGCGGUUCCUUAAGUCUGAUGUGAAAGCCCCCGGCUCAACCGGGGAGGGUCAUUGGAAACUGGGGAACUUGAGUGCAGAAGAGGAGAGUGGAAUUCCACGUGUAGCGGUGAAAUGCGUAGAGAUGUGGAGGAACACCAGUGGCGAAGGCGACUCUCUGGUCUGUA
rnacentral:rRNA from 2 species